UUGCUGCUUUGCUGACGAGUGGCGGACGGGUGAGUAAUGUCUGGGGGAUCUGCCCGAUAGAGGGGGAUAACUACUGGAAACGGUAGCUAAUACCGCAUGACCUCGCAAGAGCAAAGUGGGGGACCUUCGGGCCUCACGCCAUCGGAUGUGCCCAGAUGGGAUUAGCUAGUAGGCGGGGUAAUGGCCCACCUAGGCGACGAUCCCUAGCUGGUCUGAGAGGAUGACCAGCCACACUGGAACUGAGACACGGUCCAGACUCC
rnacentral:rRNA from 1 species